rnacentral:rRNA from 1 species
UAGUGGCAGACGGGUGAGUAAUGUAUAGGAAUCUACCUAGUAGUACGGAAUAAUUGUUGGAAACGACAACUAAUACCGUAUACGCCCUACGGGGGAAAAAUUUAUUGCUAUUAGAUGAGCCUAUAUUAGAUUAGCUAGUUGGUGGAGUAAUAGCCUACCAAGGCAAUGAUCUAUAGCUGAUCUGAGAGGAUGAUCAGCCACACUGGAACUGAGAUACGGUCCAGACUCCUACGGGAGGCAGCAGUGGGGAAUAUUGGACAAUGGGCGAAAGCCUGAUCCAGCCAUGCCGCAUGAGUGAAGAAGGCCUUUGGGUUGUAAAGCUCUUUUAGUGAGGAAGAUAAUGACGGUACUCACAGAAGAAGUCCUGGCUAACUCCGUGCCAGCAGCCGCGGUAAUACGGAGAGGGCUAGCGUUAUUCGGAAUUAUUGGGCGUAAAGGGCGCGUAGGCUGGUUAAUAAGUUAAAAGUGAAAUCCCGAGGCUUAACCUUGGAAUUGCUUUUAAAACUAUUAAUCUAGAGAUUGAAAGAGGAUAGAGGAAUUCCUGAUGUAGAGGUAAAAUUCGUAAAUAUUAGGAGGAACACCAGUGGCGAAGGCGUCUAUCUGGUUCAAAUCUGACGCUGAAGCGCGAAGGCGUGGGGAGCAAACAGGAUUAGAUACCCUGGUAGUCCACGCUGUAAACGAUGAAUGUUAAAUAUGGGAAGUUUACUUUCUGUAUUACAGCUAACGCGUUAAACAUUCCGCCUGGGGACUACGGUCGCAAGAUUAAAACUCAAAGGAAUUGACGGGGACCCGCACAAGCGGUGGAGCAUGUGGUUUAAUUCGAUGCAACGCGAAAAACCUUACCACU